GCACAAGCGGUGGAGCAUGUGGUUAAUUCGAAGCAACGCGAAGACCUUACCAGGUCUUGACAUCCCGAUGCUAUUUCUAGAGAUAGAAAGUUACUUCGGUACAUCGGUGACAGGUGGUGCAUGGUUGUCGUCAGCUCGUGUCGUGAGAUGUUGGGUUAAGUCCCGCAACGAGCGCAACCCCUAUUGUUAGUUGCCAUCAUUCAGUUGGGCACUCUAGCGAGACUGCCGGUAAUAAACCGGAGGAAGGUGGGGAUGACGUCAAAUCAUCAUGCCCCUUAUGACCUGGGCUACACACGUGCUACAAUGGUUGGUACAACGAGUUGCGAGUCGGUGACGGCGAGCUAAUCUCUUAAAGCCAAUCUCAGUUCGGAUUGUAGGCUGCAACUCGCCUACAUGAAGUCGGAAUCGCUAGUAAUCGCGGAUCAGCACGCCGCGGUGAAUACGUUCCCGGGCCUU
rnacentral:rRNA from 1 species